rnacentral:rRNA from 1 species
AUACGUAGGGUGCAAGCGUUAAUCGGAAUUACUGGGCGUAAAGCGUGCGCAGGCGGUUUUGUAAGACAGUGGUGAAAUCCCCGGGCUCAACCUGGGAACUGCCAUUUUGACUGCAAGGCUGGGGUGCGGCAGAGGGGGAUGGAAUUCCGCGUGUAGCAGUGAAAUGCGUAGAUAUGCGGAGGAACACCGAUGGCGAAGGCAAUCCCCUGGGCCUGCACUGACGCUCAUGCACGAAAGCGUGGGGAGCAAACAGGAUUAGAUACCCUGGUAGUCCACGCCCUAAACGAUGUCAACUGGUUGUUGGGGAUUUAUUUUCUCAGUAACGAAGCUAACGCGUGAAGUUGACCGCCUGGGGAGUACGGCCGCAAGGUUAAAACUCAAAUGAAUUGACGGGG